UCUUCUUGUUGACCAUCAUGUGAAAAACUGUAUUAAUUUUCUGCUCUUAAUUUAUCCACCGCAUCCAUGCGGUAGUUUCAAGUUUGGGUAGCCGCCUAUUGGCGGCCCACGAGUCAUGGAUCUGGAGUCCUUCCCUAUGCCGGCCAUGCUAUGAACUACUUGUAACCCUUUGUUUGGAGUAGAGGAUGUUCUCCUCUCUUUUCUGACGGCUACGGGAUUCACUCACUCAUGAAUUCAGGAAAGUGAUUCUUCGUUUUCAUACUUCGCAUGAAGCAUGUGUUCGGCAAUAAAUGUGGACAACCUACCUAAAUUCAUUUUAUAAAUUUUUCAUCGUUUGAUUUUUUAUUUUGUUUUGCUAACAUAAAUUUAUGAAUUAAAGUAACGUUAAUAUUUAUUUAAUAUUCUGGGGCCCCAUAUUUUUAUUUUCUUUUUUUAAUUUAAGUAACAAAUGUAACAAGUGAUAUUCUAUUUAUUGUUUAUGAAGAUUUAUAAAUAACUAAGUAAUACUGUAAUACUCAUAAAGUUUUUUUUUAUAUCAAAUAUAACUGAUGGUCUGAAAAUGAGUUAGUUUCUAUUUUUAAAUAUUACCCCCAAGUUAAUCUAAAAGAAAAUAUAUUCUCAUGUCUCUAUUGUAAUUUAUACUAAUCCUUUGGUUAAUACAUAAUAGCAUAGUACAGCAAAUGUAAACGAUCCGACUUAUCUGAAACUUUCAUGUGUUAUAGUGUCCUUGGGUAAAAUGCUAUAGCAGGUGAACACCUUUCAGUCAAAACAAUAUGUCACAACGCGAAGUGAAUUCGUGCAUUUCCCCG